GCCAGGUGCAGCAGCAUGCACCUGUAAUUCCAGCAACUGGGCAGGCUGAGGCAGGAGGAUCACAAGUUCCAGGCCAGUCUAAGCAACUUGGGGAGAUCCUGUCUCAA
rnacentral:sRNA from 1 species